rnacentral:rRNA from 1 species
GACGUAGGGCGCGAGCGUUGUCCGGAUUUAUUGGGCGUAAAGAGCUCGUAGGCGGUCUGUCGCGUCGGCUGUGAAAACCCGGGGCUCAACCCGGGCCCUGCAGUCGAUACGGGCAGACUAGAGUGUGGUAGGGGAGACUGGAAUUCCUGGUGUAGCGGUGAAAUGCGCAGAUAUCAGGAGGAACACCGGUGGCGAAGGCGGCAUCC